CACCUCCCUGGGCUUUCCGGUCCGGCGCGGAUGCACCGCGCUCUGCCACGUCUCCUCGCAGGGCCUCGCGGCGCGUGACGCCGACCGCAAGGCAGCCUGGGACUUGUAGUCUUUCGUUUUCGCCGCGUUAUCUCUAGCAAGUGGUGCCAGAAAGAUGGAAUGGAACAUUCUCCUUACCUUCGGGGCGAGGUUGAAGAUUACAUGCUUUCUCCCUUCUA